AAGAAGGGGUACCGUAUAGUAUGCAAGUCGAACGAACCAAACUGUUGAUUAAAGCUUGCUUUAUGAUUCAGACCUUGGUGAGUGGCGGACGGGUGAGUAACACGUGGGUAACCUGCCCAAAAGUGGGGGAUAACAUUUGGAAACAAGUGCUAAUACCGCAUAACAACUACUUUCACAUGAUUGUAGCUUGAAAGAUGGCUCUGCUAUCACUUUUGGAUGGACCCGCGGCGUAUUAGCUAGUUGGUGAGGUAAUAGCUCACCAAGGCAAUGAUACGUAGCCGACCUGAGAGGGUAAUCGGCCACAUUGGGACUGAGACACGGCCCAAACUCCUACGGGAGGCAGCAGUAGGGAAUCUUCCACAAUGGGCGAAAGCCUGAUGGAGCAAUGCCGCGUGAGUGAAGAAGGUUUUCGGAUCGUAAAACUCUGUUGUUGAAGAAGAACAUGCGUGAGAGUAACUGUUCACGUACUGACGGUAUUCAACCAGAAAGCCACGGCUAACUACGUGCCAGCAGCCGCGGUAAUACGUAGGUGGCAAGCGUUGUCCGGAUUUAUUGGGCGUAAAGAGAAUGUAGGCGGUCUAUUAAGUUUGAAGUGAAAGCCCUCGGCUCAACCGAGGAAGUGCUUCGAAAACUGGUAGACUUGAGUGCAGAAGAGGAAAGUGGAACUCCAUGUGUAGCGGUGGAAUGCGUAGAUAUAUGGAAGAACACCAGUGGCGAAGGCGGCUUUCUGGUCUGUAACUGACGCUGAGAUUCGAAAGCAUGGGUAGCAAACAGGAUUAGAUACCCUGGUAGUCCAUGCCGUAAACGAUGAGUGCUAAGUGUUGGAGGGUUUCCGCCCUUCAGUGCUGCAGCUAACGCAUUAAGCACUCCGCCUGGGGAGUACGACCGCAAGGUUGAAACUCAAAGGAAUUGACGGGGGGCCCGCACAAGCGGUGGGAGCAUGUGGUUUAAUUCGGAAGCAACGCGAAGAACCGUUACCAAGUCUUUGACAUACCAUGAAAAGCUUAGAGAUAAGUCUUUCCCGUUCGGGACAUGGAUACAGGUGGGUUGCAUGGUUGUCGUCAGCUCGUGUCGUGAGAUGUUGGGUUAAGUCCCGCAACGAGCGCAACCCUUAAUUAUCAGUUGCCAGGAAUUCAAUUUGAGCACUUCUGGUGAGAACUGGCCGGUGAACUAUCGGAUGACGUUGCGACCGACGUGCGAGAUCAGUCCAUGACCCCCUCUUAUAUUG
rnacentral:rRNA from 1 species